GAUGGCAUAUAUGUUAAGAAGGUACAC
rnacentral:piRNA from 1 species